rnacentral:lncRNA from 1 species
CUGGUUUCAAAAAGAAAAAAACAUCAUCUUUGCCAUCUACAGUCAUAGAUAUACAUAAUCAUUCCCAGGGAUGUAACUUCACCUCUGCAGAUCCCUUACUGCCCUGCUUACCAUUAGCAUUUCAGGUAUUGCUUUUAAAAAAAAAUUAGAAUUAUAUGAGAAAAAUAAACUUCAUUAUGAUUGAUUGAAUCCUAUUUGUGUCUCUGAUAGCCAGAACAGAGUACGUUAUUUAUUGAUCUCUUACCCACAUUCUUCUACUUUACUAUUACUAAAUAAAUUUUGAUUUACAAAGAAUGACCCAUAGAGUCAAAUGUCAUCUCAUACUCAAUAGAGUGCUAAUUCCUGUUACUAAAAUGGUAUCUUUCUAAGAAAUGUAAUGCAUAUGUUGCUUAUUAUAGGAUUUCAAUAAAAUAUUGAUGUACUAAUACUUUAUCCACUUACAGGAUAUGAGGUCAAGGGUUCAAGAAGCAGGGUUGUCUAUUCAUAGCUUUAUCAUAGAAUACUGAAAAUACAGCGACUCUGGAUGGAAGAAAGAAGAAUGCCCUGCUGUCUCACAUUCAGUGAAUUUUGUUCUAACAAGAUCUGUACCAUAUCACAGUUCUAGACUGGCUUCUGUGAAGUGGAAGUUAAAAGAAAACUUUUGUAACAUUAAAUGGGUCAUACUGAAAUAUUUUAAUGUGGUGAUCUUUUUAUGUAUAUUGUAUUAUUUAUUUAUUCAGUACUUUAUAUUUUCAGAAGUAUAGCACAGAGCCCAAAAUUGAACUGUAGUUGGUAAUUGCCAAUUAACUGAUUUAGCCUAUGUUAGGUGAGAAAAAUCUUUAAUUAGGGUUAGAUAGAAACCCUUCACCCAAAUAUCUAUGCAUAAUAUUGACUGAAAGUUGUUAAGUCUUUAUGAA